CAGUAGCCGCGGGAAUACGUAGGUCCCGAGCGUUGUCCGGAUUUAUUGGGCGUAAAGCGAGCGCAGGCGGUUAGAUAAGUCUGAAGUUAAAGGCUGUGGCUUAACCAUAGUACGCUUUGGAAACUGUUUAACUUGAGUGCAAGAGGGGAGAGUGGAAUUCCAUGUGUAGCGGUGAAAUGCGUAGAUAUAUGGAGGAACACCGGUGGCGAAAGCGGCUCUCUGGCUUGUAACUGACGCUGAGGCUCGAAAGCGUGGGGCGCAAACAGGAUUAGAUACCCCGGUAGUCCCUGUCUCUUAUACA
rnacentral:rRNA from 1 species